rnacentral:rRNA from 1 species
GUAUAAGAGACAGCAGCAGCCACGGUAAUACAGAGGGUGCGAGCGUUAAUCGGAUUUACUGGGCGUAAAGCGUGCGUAGGCGGCUUUUUAAGUCGGAUGUGAAAUCCCUGAGCUUAACUUAGGAAUUGCAUUCGAUACUGGGAAGCUAGAGUAUGGGAGAGGAUGGUAGAAUUCCAGGUGUAGCGGUGAAAUGCGUAGAGAUCUGGAGGAAUACCGAUGGCGAAGGCAGCCAUCUGGCCUAAUACUGACGCUGAGGUACGAAAGCAUGGGGAGCAAACAGGAUUAGAUACCCCCGUAGUCCCUGUCUCUUAUAC